rnacentral:rRNA from 1 species
UACGUAGGGGGCUAGCGUUGUUCGGAAUCAUUGGGCGUAAAGCGCGCGUAGGCGGCCCGGUAAGUCAGGUGUGAAAUCCCGGGGCUCAACCCCGGAACUGCCUCUGAAACUGCAGUGCUAGAAUCUUGGAGAGGCGAGUGGAAUUCCGAGUGUAGAGGUGAAAUUCGUAGAUAUUCGGAAGAACACCAGUGGCGAAGGCGACUCGCUGGACAAGUAUUGACGCUGAGGUGCGAAAGCGUGGGGAGCAAACAGG